rnacentral:rRNA from 1 species
AACAAACGCUGGCGGCGUGCCUAACACAUGCAAGUCGUACGAGAAAGGGUCCUUCGGGGCCUGAGUAAAGAGGCGCACGGGUGAGUAACGCGUGGAUAAUCUGCCCUUCAGUUGGGAAUAACUCAUCGAAAGGUGGGCUAAUACCGAAUAAUGCUGUGAGACCUCGGUUGAUCAGCCAAAGAGAGCCUCUGCCUGCAAGCCCUCGCUGAAGGAUGAGUCCGCGUACCAUUAGCUAGUUGGUAGGGUAAUGGCCUACCAAGGCGACGAUGGUUAGCUGGUCUGAGAGGAUGAUCAGCCACACUGGAACUGAGACACGGUCCAGACUCCUACGGGAGGCAGCAGUGAGGAAUCUUGCGCAAUGGGGGCAACCCUGACGAAGCAACGCCGCGUGAGUGAGGAAGGUCUUCGGAUCGUAAAGCUCUGUCGGAUGGAAAGAACCGCAUAGGGGUAAACAGCCCCUGUGUCUGACGGUACCAUCAAAGGAAGCACCGGCUAACUCCGUGCCAGCCGCCGCGGUAAUAC